GCAUGCUCAACUUCUUCUUGAAAGCUCUCUCUUUCUCCUUUUAAGAAGUCUAAAGCUUGGAUGUUGGAGGAAGGAUCUCUUCACCGGCAAGCUUAGAGGUAGAUCCUGUAGCGAGCCCGAAUUCAAGAGACUUGUUGAACCCAACUUUGUAGCUCGGAGCCAGGAGAAGAUUAAGCCUAGGAGUGGGGGUUUAUCUUGGAGUCGUAUUCCUGUCUGUGGUUGUAGAUCUUAUAGUGAAAUUUCAUGUGAGAGAAAGACUUGUAUCCUGUCUGUAUUUUUUAUUCGGAAACUGUUUGU